AUGGGCGCAAGCCUGAUGCAGCGACGCCGCGUGAGGGAUGACGGCCUUCGGGUUGUAAACCUCUUUCAGUAGGGAAGAAGCCGUAAGGUGACGGUACCUGCAGAAGAAGCGCCGGCUAACUACGUGCCAGCAGCCGCGGUAAUACGUAGGGCGCAAGCGUUAUCCGGAAUUAUUGGGCGUAAAGAGCUCGUAGGCGGUUUGUCGCGUCUGCCGUGAAAGUCCGGGGCUCAACUCCGGAUCUGCGGUGGGUACGGGCAGACUAGAGUGAUGUAGGGGAGACUGGAAUUCCUGGUGUAGCGGUGAAAUGCGCAGAUAUCAGGAGGAACACCGAUGGCGAAGGCAGGUCUCUGGGCAUUAACUGACGCUGAGGAGCGAAAGCAUGGGGAGCGAACAGGAUUAGAUACCCUGGUAGUCCAUGCCGUAAACGUUGGGCACUAGGUGUGGGGGACAUUCCACGUUUUCCGCGCCGUAGCUAACGCAUUAAGUGCCCCGCCUGGGGAGUACGGCCGCAAGGCUAAAACUCAAAGGAAUUGACGGGGGCCCGCACAAGCGGCGGAGCAUGCGGAUUAAUUCGAUGCAACGCGAAGAACCUUACCAAGGCUUGACAUGAACCGGAAAGAUCUGGAAACAGGUCCCCCACUUGUGGUCGGUUUACAGGUGGUGCAUGGUUGUCGUCAGCUCGUGUCGUGAGAUGUUGGGUUAAGUCCCGCAACGAGCGCAACCCUCGUUCUAUGUUGCCAGCACGUGAUGGUGGGGACUCAUAGGAGACUGCCGGGGUCAACUCGGAGGAAGGUGGGGACGACGUCAAAUCAUCAUGCCCCUUAUGUCUUGGGCUUCACGCAUGCUACAAUGGCCGGUACAAAGGGUUGCGAUACUGUGAGGUGGAGCUAAUCCCAAAAAGCCGGUCUCAGUUCGGAUUGGGGUCUGCAACUCGACCCCAUGAAGUCGGAGUCGCUAGUAAUCGCAGAUCAGCAACGCUGCGGUGAAUACGUUCCCGGGCCUUGUACACACCGCCCGUCAAGUCACGAAAGUUGGUAACACCCGAAGCCGGUGGCCUAACCCCUUGUGGGAGGGAGCUGUCGAAGGUGGGACUGGCGAUUGGGACUAAGUCGUA
rnacentral:rRNA from 1 species